UACGUAGGGGGCGAGCGUUGUCCGGAGUUACUGGGCGUAAAGAGCUCGUAGGUGGUUUGUCGCGUUGUUCGUGAAAACUCACAGCUUAACUGUGGGCGUGCGGGCGAUACGGCAGACUGGAGUACUGCAGGGAGACUGGAAUUCCGGGUGUAGCGGUGGAAUGCGUAGAGAUCCGGAAGAACACCGGUGGCGAAGGCGGCCUGCUGGCUAUGGCUGACACUGAGGCGCGACAGCGUGGGGAGCAAACAGG
rnacentral:rRNA from 1 species